rnacentral:RNase_P_RNA from 1 species
AGGAAAGUCCGGGCUCCAUAGGGCAGGGUGCCAGGUAACGCCUGGGGGGGAAACCCACGACCAGUGCAACAGAGAGCAAACCGCCGAUGGCCCACGUAAGUGGGAUCAGGUAAGGGUGAAAGGGUGCGGUAAGAGCGCACCGCGCGGCUGGUAACAGUCCGUGGCACGGUAAACUCCACCCGGAGCA